UACGGGGGGGCAAGCGUUGUUCGGAAUUACUGGGCGUAAAGGCUCGUAGGCGGCCAACUAAGUCGGACGUGAAAUCCCUCGGCUUAACCGAGGAACUGCGUCCGAUACUGGAUGGCUUGAGUUUGGGAGAGGGAUGCGGAAUUCCGGGUGUAGCGGUGGAAUGCGUAGAGAUCCGGAGGAAGACCGGUGGCGAAGGCGGUCUGCUGGGCAGUUUCUGACACUGAUGCGCGACAGCGUGGGGAGCAAACAGG
rnacentral:rRNA from 1 species